AUGGGCGAGUUCCGCAAGGAGUUCAAGCAGAAGAACCCCAAGAACAAGUCUGUCGCUGCUGUAGGCAAAGCAGCCGGUGGGAGGUGGAAGAGCUUGAGCGAGUCAAUCAUGGUGUACCAGCUUUGCAAGGGCGUUGCUUUUUGCCACGGAUGCGGUGUCCGGCACCAUGACCUUGAGCCACACAACCUGCAAAUUGGUGGAUGGGUUGGUAUCCUCUGGUUUGAUCCCAGCAAGAGGAAGUGUUCCCUUCACUUUAUCAACCAAAGGCACUUUCUUCUCUCAUGGAUGGAUGGGACUCCAUCAAUUUAG
rnacentral:rRNA from 1 species